rnacentral:antisense_RNA from 3 species
CUUCACCGAACCCAACAGCAACGGCUGCCCGGCAUCACGGUCACGGCCGUAGGUGGCGAGGAGCGCCUGGGCCUC